rnacentral:rRNA from 1 species
GACGAACGCUGGCGGCAUGCCUAAUACAUGCAAGUCGAGCGAACAGAUGAAGUGCUUGCACUUCUGACGUUAGCGGCGAACGGGUGAGUAACACGUAAGGAAUCUACCUAUAAGCGGGGGAUAACAUUCGGAAACGGGUGCUAAUACCGCAUAAUAUCUUCUUCCGCAUGGAAGAAGAUUGAAAGACGGCUCUGCUGUCACUUAUAGAUGACCUUGCGGUGCAUUAGUUAGUUGGUGGGGUAACGGCCUACCAAGACGAUGAUGCAUAGCCGACCUGAGAGGGUGAUCGGCAACAUUGGGACUGAGACACGGCCCAAAGUCCUACGGGAGGCAGCAGUAGGGAAUCUUCCGCAAUGGGCGAAAGCCUGACGGAGCAAUGCAGCGUGAGUGAAGAAGGCCUUCGGGUCGUAAAACUCUGUUAUAAGAGAAGAACAAAUUGUAGAGUAACUGCUACAGUCUUGACGGUAUCUUAUCAGAAAGCCACGGCUAACUACGUGCCAGCCGCCGCCGUAA